ACACACGGAUUUCUUCUUCUUCGUAGUCAUCGAAGUUGCUGGUAUCGCCAGAGCCUCUGAACUUUGGUAUGAAGGGAGCCUCAACCUGUAAUUGACAUCAGGAGGAAAGAAAACCUCAAAGACUGAUGAGAAUCCCUUUUAUUAACCAUGAAGAACUGUCUUCAUUCGAGCAAAUCUAGAGAGGCACAAAGCACGCUUAUGAGCUGGAAAGCCUGUUUUAAUCACCAGGGUCCUUAUUUGUGACUACUGAACAGUGCUGAGCUAAUGGUGCCCAGAGCACACUCCUUGAGCUUAGCUCUGAGCUUUGGGAGGCAUGGUGACUGUACUGUUUUGGCCUUGCUAUGCUAUAAGCUGAAUAUUAAAAUUCUUU